rnacentral:lncRNA from 1 species
CGUUCAUUUCUUUAACAUCGGGAGUGCGCACACAUGCCUUCAGAGAAACAGGGAGAAGGAAGGAGGAAAGGAGAAGGAGUUGAAAAGACAAGGGGAGUUUGGAUGAAGAGGAGGUCGAUUGGCUUGGAGAAUGGUGGGGUCCAGAGCGCUACUUGCUCCGCCCCGAGGUUCUGUCCACCCGCCCUUCUGGAGUCGCCAAGAGGUGAUGCUAUACGGGAUGCACUCCUGCAUAUUGUGACAUUUCUAGAAGAGUCACCAGUCUUUGCUCUGGUGUCAAAAGUGAAGGUAGAGAGAGAAGCUUCCACUUCAGUCUCAGGAACCCGCGUGGCGUGAAGGCACUACUGCUUCAAUGUCCUGUGUCUCCCCAGGGUCGACGACGGUUGUAUCGCAUUUAAGGGGUUUGUGCAUGUGAGUGCAGGUGCCAUUUGAAGCCAGAAGAGGGCGUUGGAUCCUCAGAACUGGAGGAAGUUGUGAGUCACCUGAUGUGGGUGCAGUAUACACUCUUAAUUCCAGAACCAUUUCUCCAGCCUGCAAGUGAUUUUUAAAGUCAUACAUUCUGUUGUUUUGACGCAUUGUGCCUAUAGAUUUGCAUGUGUUGAGCCACCACUGCAACCUCCAACCUCCAACUUGAUAGCCAUGGAUGAUCUUUUUGAUAUGCUGUUGUAUUCAAACCCUUGGUGUUUUGUUAAUAAUGUUUGCAUCUAUACUCAUCA